CGGUGGCAGAGGGACUGCAGUCGGGUAUCGCCUCGGAAGACUGUGCGAUGGAAAUAACAGACAGGACCUCAUCCAUAUGCCCCUGUACCCCGAUGUGGGAGCGAGCCAUGGAUCAUCAGGAUCAUAUGAUAGAAGAGCAAGCAGAGAUCAUCACUUAAGACACAGAGGAGAUGUGCCUGUCUCAGAUCCUUAUCCAUCACGACACUCCAAUGUAUGAGUCAGUGCCACCCUGGGCAAGGAGGCCUGCUGGUGCGGAGGAGAUGGUGGCUGUCCAGAGGACACUCCUUGUGGAAGUCACGGGCCUGCGCAGGAGGAGCUGAUCUGCUGAAUGCAGAUAGAGAGACAUUAGCCCUGGAGAAGGAGAAGUUUGCCAUGGAGAAGCGAAGAAGACUUGAAGAUGGAUAUCCUAAAAUAAAUCUGGUUCGAUAUCAUACAGACCUCCUUUUUGUCAUGUGAAUUUCCUCCUUAUGAGGUUAUUCCUUGCUUGUUGGCCAGCAUUGUAUCUACCAUCGGCAUUGUGGUCAGCGGCAACA